UGGAACAGAAAACUUAGUUACCAAGCGGAUUCAGACUGUGACUAACAUAGCUCUGCACGUGUAAAAAAUAAUCAUGACAUCGGCAAUUUAAUCUGGAAACUCUAGGCUAGAACAAAUUAAAUCUUGAAAGUGUUGCAUAUACUUUCUAUAUAUUUAAUUGCUAAAAACAUUUAUAUUAUUAAGUUGAAUCACAAUGAUGACUAAACACGAUUUCGUGGCAAAUAAAUACGUUUUUCUGAAAUUCAUCUUUGUUUGUAUAACAACUUAGUAUAUAAGGCGCAAACCGUUUAACAAAGGAAAGAAACCUUUUUCAGUUUAUUAUUGUUGCUUUAUCUGCCCAAAAAUAUAGACUUAUCUAUUGAAGUGGCCAUGACAAAAGAAAACAAACCCAGUCUGUAAUGAUAAAUGCAUUAUCGAAAUAAAAAGCCACUGAUAGCAAAUUAGCCCAGAUAA